CGGAGAACUUCGAAGUGAGCACAUAUUUCAGCUAGGGUAGAGUGUUCAUAUAAAAACAAGAUGGUUAGAAGUACACAAAAAUCUAUCGUAAUUUUAUUAAAUUUCUCCCAAUUUUUCGUCGGUUUUCAACCUUACUGGUGGAGGGGGGGAGGGGUGACACUAGCCAUGGACACCGGAUAUUUGUCUAAAGAGAUAAAGAUUAGAAAUAUUAUAAUACUUGUACUAGAGAUGUCAUUAUUAUCGUUGUAUCAAUAUAGGAUGGAGGCAGAGUAGGAUAUAAAUAAUAAUGGGUGUAAAAAAAAAAAAAAAUUCAUUACGAUUGGUAAAUCGUGAAUUUUGUUUGUCACGAGUAUUUUUCUGACUCAAAUUUUCGAUUUUUUUUGAUUUCGGUCAUAUUUCAGAUGUUGAACAUGUCUUGUUGGUUGACUGUGGCGUAUGUGACAGUUGCCGGAGCU